AACCGCACUUGGUCCACAACGCCGCCGCCUCCUUCCUAGAUUCACCCACCUUACGAAGCAGGGUGGGGGCGUUUGCAUCCAGUACCAAGACCUUCUCCGUUCACGUUGUAGGAUGUACGCCUGGAGAACCUGAAAUGCAGUGUUUUUUUAUAUAUUUCAGUUCAUACUCGAGAUUACGACGAGGGUCAACUUAUUGAGAGAACGAGCCGUACCAAUUGUUCCUGCACAUGAUGGUCUAAGCUGCUACAGAAAAGCAGUUUGUGGGAUUCUAAAAUAGCAAUCAAAGAAAUUUCUUUACUAUCAAUAUAGUGUUUGGAUGGCAGCUCGCAUGGAUCUCGUGGAGAGUGAGAUUUCAGCAUGUUCUAUGGAAACAAAUGAUUGUGAUGAUGUUGAAUCCAUUGUUGUCGCAAGCUCUACGAUAUCAGCGCACAGGUUUAAUAUGUUCUAUGGAAACAAAUGAUUGUGUGACAUUUCUGUGAUGAAUUGAUUUAACUUGCUUUAGGCAUGAGCUUAAGGGAAGAAAACCAACCAUGACGACUGUUCUCUUCGUCAAUUACAAACAAAUCUUGCCCAUGCUUUUAAGCCUCAACUUGUAUACAAUAGGAAAUUUGAAGCACAACAAUGCGCUCUGUAGAUUCAUUCAGAAGCAGAUGCCGCCGCGGAAUGUCAUGUUCGCAAUAUGUAUAUAUUAUCUAAUUUAUGGAUUAGCUGGUAUUUGUAGAACUAAUCUGAAUGCAAACUUUGUACUGGCCACCUGAUGGUCAUGAUGCAGUCCAGGCUCCAUUGUAUCAUAAGAUGACGCCCAUGGGUUGAAGAUUAAUGCACUUUCUAAUUAUCUGG